rnacentral:rRNA from 1 species
GGUAGGGCUUCACACGUCAUACAAUGGUCGGUACAGAGGGUUGCCAAGCCGCGAGGCGGAGCCAAUCCCACAAAGACCGACUCGUAGUCCGGAUUGUUCUCUGCAACUCGAGAGCAUGAAGUCGGAAUCGCUAGUAAUCGCAGGUCAGCAUACUGCGGUGAAUACGUUCCCGGGUCUU